CAUCUUUAUUCAAACCAAGUAACGAAAAAGUCAUGAUAAUUUCGUAAAAACAAGGUACAUAUGUGACGCAUUUAUUAUUCUUAGUAUUCAGAUAUCUAACCACAAUCUUUGUUGAUUUCAGCUUUGUUCAAAUAUUUCUCGGAAUUAUCUU